GAAAGUACUUGCAUCUGAAUCCUUGCCUCUGUGUCUGCUUCUGGGAAGACUCAAACUAAGACACAGACUGUCCUAUAUUAUAUAAACCAAGCUGGGCUCGGAGUCUAGUGAAUGCCUAACCUAAGUUUCAACUCCAUCCUGAACCAUGAAAGUGCUGAAAGAACUGAGGAAAAGGAAGCAACAGGCAGUGCUGAAAGAAAAAUGAGCUUUCUGAGCCCAUGGUCCAGGAGGUCAGCAGUGUAUCUCUCACCUUUGAGCGGGCUCUAUUCUAGACACUCUGGGUGCAGCAGUGAACAAAACAGCUCAUGGAACUUCCUUUUGAGGAGGGAGACAAGUAAAAAACAAAUAAAUGAACAAACAUG